CAAUACGGUGCUGACGAGCGGCGAACGGGUGAGUAAUGCUUGGAAUCUUCCCAGUAGUGGGGAAUAACCAGUCGAAGAUUGGCUAAUACCGCAUACGUCCGAGAGGGAAAGCGGGGGACCGUAAGUCCAAAGNUUUAUCGCCAAAGGAUUGGCCCGCGUCCGAUUAGCUAGUUGGUGAGGUAACGGCUCACCAAGGCUACGAUCGGUAGCUGGUCUGAGAGGAUGAUCAGCCACAUUGGGACUGAGACACGGCCCAAACUCCUACGGGAGGCAGCAGUGGGAAUAUUGGACAAUGGGCGCAAGCCUGAUCCAGCCAUGCCGCGUGUGUGAAGAAGGUCUUCGGAUUGUAAAGCACUUUAAGUUGGGAGGAAGGGUAGUAACCUAAUACGUUGCUACUUUGACGUUACCGACAGAAUAAGCACCGGCUAACUUCGUG
rnacentral:rRNA from 1 species